GGAAGCCUACUGCUCCCGGCGUGCCGCGCAAAGCAACAUGGCCUCCCGGAAGCCCAGUGUCGGAAGAAUACUACUCCCGGCAAGGCGGGGAGCGGCGGUGCUCGAGCUAGAACCAACGAUAGCAAAUGCUGACGGAGAGGAAAGCCGGACAGGCGGUCUUUUUGUGAUUAAUACCUAAGGGACGAAGUGAAUGAAACGAGGAAGCAAAAAUGCAGUAGACCCCUGAUAUCCCCAGCAACUGCUGCAGAAGGAGGUGUUCUGCCACGGGCAAAUAGAAAGGGAAGGAUACAAUACUUACACUUUCAGACGAAUUGCCACGGCUGAAGUUGAAGAGUCCAGAAAAACGUAAGCAAGCUGAGGUGCGAAAACCACGUGGAACCAGCCAAGAGCCGUUUCCGUCUCCCGCAAACGAAAGCCCGUCCUUCCUGACUAGGAAGGCUCACUGUUAGUAGCCAUCGAAAUAAUAGAUCACAGACGUAUAACGAAGGUCUGUCCGCCUUACAGCAAGUACGCUACGUGUUCAUAACGUUGGGGAACAACUGCACACUGCCAUGAAGAAUUACAGGUCCCACCCUCAGACCUCUGCAAGUUAUCACAUUUCAGGAGCAGCCAGGAGGAUCCAAAUGCCAGCGGAAAGGUUUGCCUACCAGUCCCGACAAGAAGCCUUCAGUCAUAGGAAGGUUGGCCGUGUCCUUACUUGCGCUAAGCGUAGUCUGGCCGUCGAAAGAGCGUUGUCGUCGCUGGGAGCUCUCCGCAGAGAUCUGCGUCUGGCCGCCGAAGACGAGCGGAAGGCGAGCCCGGGCUUGCGACGUGGACGCAGCUAAGUCCUGGGGCUGCGUUGCGUGUGAGCAGGGCUGGGACGUGGCAGUGGUUUUGCCCUUGGCGGUUACGGGCGUCACUGGCCGUGGAUGGUUGCCCGCGGAGCCGAGAGGAGCAAAACUAUCAAUGGUCUGUGGGGGAGACGAAUUAGCGCUUGCGGCGUUUCAGGUGCGUUCAGUGGUCGCGCAGCCUGGCGCGAUCCAGCGGCACGAUUUGUGCAUGUGCUUAUGCUUUAGUGGCGGCUAAGCCCAAGCCUCUAAACAGCAACUGUAACAGGAUUGUGGUGCACGUCUUCCUGUUCUGCUGCCCUUCUAAGGGGAAAGUUCCCCUUAGAAAGUGCCCUUCCCCCCCUUUCUAAGGGGAAAGUUCCUAAGCUGUGGGCAAAACUCUUUGGCCGCUUCUUACUGUUCUCAUGCUCGUGGGUGCUGUGGCGUUCCUUGCUUAAAGCUAAGGGUUUGGACUUUUUCACUUGAGGUUUAUGUAGUUUGUUGCUGAGGGUCUCUCAUGCCGCAGUUGUGGUUUCUCACUUUAUUUUGUGGGGCUCAGUCUUUAUCAGGCACAGUUCACAGGUCCCUCAUUUAGCGAUCAGGGUGCAGGAUUGAAAAUGCAACCUCAUCCCGAGACUUUACAGCCUCAGAAACCAUUUGGGUGCCAAGAUGUGCAGUUCGUCACUUCAGGUUCAGGGCUUAGGGCUUCCUGAUGAGGGAAAAAUCCGUAAAUAAUAAACUGUAAGCCCUGAAGCCCGAGCAGCGGUUUGCCGUUUGCCAUCUUCCCCUGUGCUAGCGCUCCGCUCUGAGCGCCGAGCUGAGGCCUGGGCUUGAUACGGUGCAGGCCCACCACGCAGACACUGGCGACGUGCGGCGGGCGAGCCGAGAGCCGUGCGAGCGUUCCGCGGGGCUCUGGUCUGGGGUAGAGCGGAAGCGCAGGCAGGCGAGUUCAGGCGUUGUCCUCUCCAAUUCUCAGAGCUGAAUCCUAUCCCCGAAGGAAAAAGCAGAAGGGGCAGGCCGUCGGCUACGCAGACACCUGCCGCCUCGGGAGCUGCGGCGGAAGCUGACCCUUCCCCGACGGACGGACGGACGGACGGUCGGACAGACGAACGCUGGCGUGGCGAUGACUCUUCAGGUGUCACGGGGUAAGGGGAAGCGUGCCGGCACCGAGCUCCGUGGCAGGCUCGCUCCCAGGUGGUGUUUCUGUGCAGUAAAACAAUAAACAGCCGCUUUAUU